CGUACGAUACGAGUUUGAUCUGGCUCAGAACGAACGCUGGCGGCAGGCCUAACACAUGCAAGUCGGGCGAACCCUUCGGGGUUAGCGGCGGACGGGUUAGUAACGCGUGGGAACGUGCCCAAAGGUACGGAAUAGCCUCGGGAAACUGAGAGUAAUACCGUAUGUGCCCCUCGGGGGAAAGAUUUAUCGCCUUUGGAUCGGCCCGCGUUGGAUUAGGUAGUUGGUGGGGUAAUGGCCUACCAAGCCGACGAUCCAUAGCUGGUUUGAGAGGAUGAUCAGCAACACUGGGACUGAGACACGGCCCAGACUCCUACGGGAGGCAGCAGUGGGGAAUCUUAGACAAUGGGGGAAACCCUGAUCUAGCCAUGCCGCGUGGACGAUGAAGGCCUUAGGGUUGUAAAGUCCUUUCAGCUGGGAAGAUAAUGACGGUACCAGCAGAAGAAGCCCCGGCUAACUCCGUG
rnacentral:rRNA from 1 species